rnacentral:rRNA from 1 species
UACGUAGGGUGCGAGCGUUGUCCGGAAUUAUUGGGCGUAAAGAGCUCGUAGGCGGUCUGUCGCGUCGGUCGUGAAAACUUGGGGGCUUAACCCUGAGCUUGCGGUCGAUACGGGCAUGACUGGAGUUCGGCAGGGGAGACUGGAAUUCCUGGUGUAGCGGUGAAAUGCGCAGAUAUCAGGAGGAACACCGGUGGCGAAGGCGGGUCUCUGGGCCGAUACUGACGCUGAGGAGCGAAAGCGUGGGGAGCGAACAGG